rnacentral:rRNA from 1 species
AACGAACGCUGGCGGCAUGCCUAACACAUGCAAGUCGAACGAAACCUUCGGGUCUAGUUGCGCACGGGUGCGUAACGCGUGGGAACCUGCCCUUAGGUUCGGAAUAACUCCCCGAAAGGGGUGCUAAUACCGGAUAAUGUCUUCGGACCAAAGAUUUAUCGCCUUUGGAUGGGCCCGCGUUGGAUUAGCUAGUUGGUAGGGUAAAAGCCUACCAAGGCGACGAUACAUAGCUGGUCUGAGAGGAUGAUCAGCCACACUGGGAGUGAGACACGGCCCAGACUCCUACGGGAGGAAGCAGUGGGGAAUAUUGGACAAUGGGCGACAGCCUGAUCAAGCAAUGCCGCGUGAGUGAUGAAGGCCUUAGGGUUGUAAAGCUCUUUUACCCGGGAUGAUAAUGACAGUACCGGGAGAAUAAGCUCCGGCUAACUCCGUG